rnacentral:tRNA from 1 species
GUUCUUAUAGUUGAAAUACAACGAUGGUUUUUCAUACAA